rnacentral:tRNA from 1 species
GGGGUGUUAGCUCAGAUGGCUAGAGCGUCACGCUGGCAGCGUGAAGGUCACCGGUUCGAUCCCGGUACACUCCACCA